UAGGGAAUCUUCCACAAUGGACGCAAGUCUGAUGGAGCAACGCCGCGUGAGUGAAGAAGGGUUUCGGCUCGUAAAGCUCUGUUGGUAGUGAAGAAAGAUAGAGGUAGUAACUGGCCUUUAUUUGACGGUAAUUACUUAGAAAGUCACGGCUAACUACGUGCCAGCAGCCGCGGUAAUACGUAGGUGGCAAGCGUUGUCCGGAUUUAUUGGGCGUAAAGCGAGUGCAGGCGGUUCAAUAAGUCUGAUGUGAAAGCCUUCGGCUCAACCGGAGAAGGGCAUCGGAAACCGGGCGACUUGAGUGCAGAAGAGGACAGUGGAACUCCAUGUGUAGCGGUGGAAUACGUAGAUAUAUGGAAGAACACCAGUGGCGAAGGCGGCUGUCUGGUCUGCAACUGACGCUGAGGCUCGAAAGCAUGGGUAGCGAACAGGAUUAGAUACCCUGGUAGUCCAUGCCGUAAACGAUGAGCGCUAGGUGUUGGAGGGUUUCCGCCCUUCAGUGCCGGAGCUAACGCAUUAAGCACUCCGCCUGGGGAGUACGACCGCAAGGUUG
rnacentral:rRNA from 1 species